rnacentral:rRNA from 1 species
CCAUCCCACGUUCGGAUCGCAGGCUGCAACCCGCCUGCGUGAAGUUGGAAUCGCUAGUAAUCGCGGAUCAGCAUGCCGCGGUGAAUACGUUCCCGGGCCUUGUACACACCGCCCGUCACACCAUGAGAGUCGGGAACACCCGAAGUCCGUAGCCUAACUGCAAAGGGGGCGCGGCCGAAGGUGGGUUCGAUAAUUGGGGUGAAGUCGUAACAAGGUACC